CAAGUGAACUCUCCAGGUAGAGUGUGUGCACUAAUUAGAUGAGUGCUGGUAUCAACAGAUACGUGUACAUUUCUUAGUUUUUCAAAUUCAGGAAUGUGUAUAAUAUCUAUUUGCCAUAACUAAUUAGGUUCUUGUUUUCUAGGGUUAUCACUUGUUGAAGAAGGGGACAUGCCUGUGAGCUGGCAAUCUGGGCAUUACAAGAUAAUUAUUUAGCUAGUCUUUGGGUCUCCAGCCUGCCCACCCUGCAGAUUUUGGACAUGACACCUCCACAAUCAUGAGACUCAUGGGCUGUAGAUUACAAAAG
rnacentral:lncRNA from 13 species